UACGUAGGGAGCAAGCGUUGUCCGGAAUCAUUGGGCGUAAAGCGCGCGUAGGUGGCCUCAUAAGUCCGCUGUGAAAGUCAAAGGCUCAACCUUUGAAAGCCGGUGGAUACUGUGAGGCUAGAGUACAGAAGAGGCGAGUGGAAUUCCUGGUGUAGCGGUGAAAUGCGCAGAUAUCAGGAGGAACACCGAUGGCGAAGGCAGGUCUCUGGGCUGUAACUGACGCUGAGGAGCGAAAGCAUGGGGAGCGAACAGG
rnacentral:rRNA from 1 species